rnacentral:lncRNA from 1 species
GUCUGGCUGGUUUCUGAUACUAGGAAAGUGGGCAGAAUAUUUGGGGAGAAUCACAUCUCUCCCCAAAAAGGGGAGAGGUUAGCUCAGGAUCCCAGUGAUCCAAACUGCCUAACCCAAGGAACAACAUCUCUCCUUGAUAGUGGAGUGACCCCAGCCAAACUGCCAAACUUACAUAUUAUAGUCACCCCACAGAUCUCUUCAGAUACUUUCAGGUCCAUCUGGAAAAACAACAGAAACUCUGGCUCUGUCCAAAAGAAAAAGAAGGCCAAAAACUGAAUAUAUAUUCCAUUUAUUCCUGUGGACAAAUGGUUUGGAUAUGAAGACAAUGUCACUGAGAAAUAAUAUUGUCAAAUAGUCAUUUCACUAAUGUGCAAAGUAUUCUUAUAUUACAUUUUUUACUUUUUUAAAAGAUAAUUUAUUUUACCAAUUACAUGUACUAACAAGUUUCCAUAUAAGGUUUCUGAAGUUAUAAAAUACAAAUUGUCUCCUCUUCUUCCUGGAGAUGGUAAUCAACUUGAUCUGGAUUAUGUAUGUAUCAUCAUGUAAAACCUAUUUCCAUACUGUUCAUUGUUUUAAAGAAUACUCAUAUAAAACCAAAACUCCAAAAUAAAAAGUCAAAUAAAUUAAAGUGAAAAAUCA